AUAACUAUUGGAAACGAUGGCUAAUACCGCAUGAUGCCUACGGGCCAAAGAGGGGGACCUUCGGGCCUCUCGCGUCAGGAUAUGCCUAGGUGGGAUUAGCUAGUUGGUGAGGUAGGGGCUCACCAAGGCAACGAUCCCUAGCUGGUCUGAGAGGAUGAUCAGCCACACUGGAACUGAGACACGGUCCAGACUCCUACGGGAGGCAGCAGUGGGGAAUAUUGCACAAUGGGCGCAAGCCUGAUGCAGCCAUGCCGCGUGUGUGAAGAAGGCCUUCGGGUUGUAAAGCACUUUCAGUCGUGAGGAAGACGGCGUCGUUAAUAGCGGCGUUGUUUGACGUUAGCGACAGAAGAAGCACCGGCUAACUCCGUGCCAGCAGCCGCGGUAAUACGGAGGGUGCGAGCGUUAAUCGGAAUUACUGGGCGUAAAGCGCAUGCAGGUGGUUUGUUAAGUCAGAUGUGAAAGCCCGGGGCUCAACCUCGGAAUAGCAUUUGAAACUGGCAGACUAGAGUACUGUAGAGGGGGGUAGAAUUUCAGGUGUAGCGGUGAAAUGCGUAGAGAUCUGAAGGAAUACCGGUGGCGAAGGCGGCCCCCUGGACAGAUACUGACACUCAGAUG
rnacentral:rRNA from 1 species